GUGAGGUAUUCGGUCUACAGUGCAUCAUAGAUGUGUAUUCGAAUGAAGAUCAUUGCAGUAACUUUUUGAGCUUCGUCGACUGGUUUGUCAUCGGUAGGUGGCUCUAAUACCUUUUGCAGUAAGAUGAAGCUUCACGUCUUGAACCCACUUCAGGUAGUUUCUUCCAGAUACUUCCAGAGCAGUGAAAUCGAGCUUGUUCAAGUUUGACAUGUCCCUAAAACGGAAGGUACAACAAAAACUUGGUUAGUCAGAUGGUAAUCCAUAGACAUACAUCGUAGAACAUUCGGAUUUUAUAGACAUGUAUUUGUUUAAUUUAUGCAUGAAAACUUCGGGUUUCAAAAGCACUAAAUAUGAAACUAUAGGUUCAAUUUAGUUUUAUGAACGAUUAGUUCAUAAA
rnacentral:lncRNA from 1 species